rnacentral:tmRNA from 1 species
GGGGGUGACUGGCUUCGACAGGGAAAUCGGUGUGCGUUUGCGCGAGCAAAGCUGUAGUAACUUUUAAAACUGCUACAAAAACCCAAGUGCGAAUAAAGUAGCACGUGCGAUUCUGUCACCUAUACAGGUGGCGGAUUUGCAGUUCGCUUACGCGAAAGCCUAAGCGACCGUCCGCGAGCUUGAUACUUGGUUAGGGCUCUCCGGGCGUCAAUUCUUCCAAGCACUGACAAGCGGUGGUCCGCUAGCUUGUCUAAGACAAAGGACUAGGGUGUGUAUGAUUCUGUUCAUCUUAUACAUAUGCAUCCGAAAUCAGAAUGCAAAUUCUGACAAGAUGUUCUACGCUUCGUAGACGCAUUCACACAUCUUUCUUUGGACUCGGGUCCGAUACCCGACACCUCCACAU